AGUGAACGCUGGCGGCGUGCUUAACACAUGCAAGUCGAACGAGAACGGGUUAUAGCUUGCUAUAAUUGUCAGCUAGGUGGCGCACGGGUGAGUAAUGUAUAGGUAAUAUGCCUCUUACUAAGGGAUAACAAAUGGAAACGUUUGCUAAUACCUUAUACUCCUUAUUAACAUAAGUUAAUAAGGGAUAGAUUUAUUGGUAAGAGAUUAGCCUGUAUUGUAUCAGUUAGUUGGUGGGGUAAUGGCUUACCAAGACUAUGACACAUAACUGGUUUGAGAGGAUGAUCAGUCACGCUGGAACUGAGACACGGUCCAGACUCCUACGGGAGGCAGCAGUGGGGAAUAUUGCACAAUGGACGAAAGUCUGAUGCAGCAACGCCGCGUGGAGGAUGACACAUUUCGGUGCGUAAACUCCUUUUAUAUGAGAAGAUAAUGACGGUAUUAUAUGAAUAAGCACCGGCUAACUCCGUGCCAGCAGCCGCAGUAAGAC
rnacentral:rRNA from 1 species